ACGAACGCUGGCGGCAGGCCUAACACAUGCAAGUCGAGCGCACCCUUCGGGGUGAGCGGCGGACGGGUGAGUAACGCGUGGGAACGUGCCCUUCUCUGCGGAAUAGCCUCGGGAAACUGAGAGUAAUACCGCAUACGCCCUUUGGGGGAAAGAUUUAUCGGAGAAGGAUCGGCCCGCGUUGGAUUAGGUAGUUGGUGGGGUAAUGGCCCACCAAGCCGACGAUCCAUAGCUGGUUUGAGAGGAUGAUCAGCCACACUGGGACUGAGACACGGCCCAGACUCCUACGGGAGGCAGCAGUGGGGAAUCUUAGACAAUGGGGGCAACCCUGAUCUAGCCAUGCCGCGUGAGUGAUGAAGGCCUUAGGGUUGUAAAGCUCUUUCAGCUGGGAAGAUAAUGACGGUACCAGCAGAAGAAGCCCCGGCUAACUCCGUG
rnacentral:rRNA from 1 species